rfam:Colinus virginianus strain Texas jcf7180006215697, whole genome shotgun sequence.
CUGUAUUCUACAGUGCAUGUGUCUCCAGUGUCACUCAGCGACUGGGGACACGGCCCUGUUGGAAUCAC